GACUCUCAGCAACGGAUAUCUUGGCUCUUGCAUCGAUGAAAAAUGUAGUGAAAUGUGAUACUUGGUGUGAAUUGCAGGAUCCCACGAACCACUGAGUCUUUGAACGCAAUUCACGCCCGGAGCCUUUUGGACAAGGGCACGUCUGCCUGGGUGGCA